UACGUAGGGGGCAAGCGUUGUCCGGAUUUAUUGGGCGUAAAGAGCGUGUAGGCGGCCGCACAGGUCCGUUGUGAAAACUGGAGGCUUAACCUUCAGACGUCGAUGGAAACCGUGCGGCUAGAGUCCGGAAGAGGAGAAUGGAAUUCCUGGUGUAGCGGUGAAAUGCGCAGAUAUCAGGAAGAACACCCGUGGCGAAGGCGGCAUCCUGGACCAUUACUGACGCUGAGGAGCGAAAGCCAGGGGAGCAAACGGG
rnacentral:rRNA from 1 species